AAUGGUUAACGACGCUUCGAGGGUGACUGUUGUUGAUGUGUGCAGAUGGUCCCUGGUUCGCGCCCGGGUAUGGGCGAGGGGACGGUUUAAAAUUAUACUAUUACAUUGAUGCUGUUGACCCGGAUCACUGGUUGCUGCGGAAAAGGAGGAAGGUCAAAAGGGGUGCACGCAUUAACCCGCCGGUCCCGGUUCCCCCGCCGCCACGACUUGUUGAUGGGGAAACCACCUUUUCUGUCAAUCGUAUUUUGGACUCUAGAAGGAGGGGACGUGGAUUCCAGUACCUGGUGGACUGGGAGGGUUACGGCCCGGAGGAGAGAAGUUGGGUACCUGCUAGGGACAUUCUGGAUCACUCCCUUAUCGAUGAUUUCAAUCGACAGGUAAAUUUGCCUGGGAACGCCAAGAGGCGUUCCUAGGGGGGGGGGUAUUGUCACGGUUCAUGAAUCCACUGCCUCCCUCUCUCUCUCUCUCUCUCUCUCCAGUGUUUGUGUGGGCGUGGUUUCCCAAUCUCGGCCUGAUUGUCUGCGCCAGCUGGAACCACUUAUCUUCCCUUUAUAUGUUCUGUUACCAGUGUUUCUUGUUGUCAGAUCGUUGUUUCUUCUCUGAGGUUGUGUCGUGUGUCCGUGCUCUUCUCUUGUGUGGAUUAUCUGCUGUGCUCCUUCCUACUCAUCCGGACACACUCCCCUGGUUUUCUCAGCACGUUAUGAUCGGAAGAUGCGCCCGAGUUCCUGGGUCGGAUUCCUUCUGAGUACAGUCUGUCUGUCAUGUUGCUGCUGUGAACUACAUUCAUUAAAACCAUCGUUGCUUGCAUCU